GUUACAAGUGUCACACGGAACUGCCGGUCAUAAACCGGAGGAAGUGGGGAUGACGUCAAGUCAGCAUGGCCUUUAUAUCCUGGGCUACACACACGCUACAAUGGGAAGGGACAAUAGGUUGCGAAGCCGCGAGGCGGAGCCAAUCCAGCAAAACUUCCCUCAGUUCAGAUUGCAGGCUGCAACCCGCCUGCAUGAAGUUGGAGUUGCUAGUAAACGCAGGUCAGCCAUACUGCGUUGAAUACGUUCCCGGGGCUU
rnacentral:rRNA from 1 species